GGGAGGGAGGCCGGAGCCUCAGGACUAUCUCUGGCGCUGACCCUAAUCCUAACCCUAACUCUGACUGCAAGUCUGACUCAUGGUGGGACCGGGCACAGGGCCAGAGUCAUGAAAAUUUGAUUCAAACAUUUGUGCAAAGCACUUUCCUGAUGUGCAGUAAAAGGCCCCCCCCUAAAUGUGACACGUUCCCCCAUUUUCUGAGAGAAGCGGUGUGAGCCGCGCUGGCAGGUGCGAAGGCCGGGAACUUCCCGCCAUGAGUGGGGUCCACCCCGCUGCCCAGCCCCGCAGCCUGAGUGCCUUCUCAGGGCUCGGGUGGGUCAGGGCUGGAGGGGUGGUGGCCCAGUGCACAUCACAGGGGCUGCUGGUCUGUUUUUGCCUCAGUAAUCACCCCGGCAGGGGCCACGGAGCCUGCUCUGUCCACCAGGCCUGGAGCUCAGUACUCCCCGGGCAGCAUCCUGCGGGAUCCAGCAAGGCUGGUCCCAUCCCUCCAUCACGCAGUGGGACACCGAACCCGCAGCAGUUUGGUAACUGGUAAGUGGUGUAGCCGGGGUUUGAAGCCAGGCAGUCUGGCUUGAGAGCCCAAGAGCCCUCCCGUGAGCUUGUGCAGAAGGAAGGGGCUUCUUGGGCAGAUCCUCCACCUCUCACUGAAUAGGAGAAAAGAGGAAGGUGAGGCUGACCCUGGGGCACCAACUGCUUCUUUAAGUUACUGUUGUUGAAUGACAGCUCCCGCCAGUCUUCAGAAUGGCUGAUAUACUGAGGCUGUCUUUAGGCUUUGCAGUUUGGAGGGGCAGCUGAUCACAGAAUGAGCUGUAUUUUAUUAUCCUUCGCUCUGGGUUCAAAUCUGACUUGGAGGUAUGAAGAUAUUGCCGUGUGGCCUCGCGCAAAUAAGUUAACCUCUCUGGGCCUUAGUCUCCUCAUCUAUGAAAUGGGGAUAAUAAUAGAAGCUAUCAGAUGGGACUGUUUCAGGGAUAAUGUGAAUAAAUAUUUGCCAAAAAUUUAGAAUAGUGCCUGCCAUUCUGCAAGCAUAGUGGAGGGUCAGUGAACAAAGAAGGGGGUGCUGCGUA
rnacentral:lncRNA from 1 species